CUUUUGUCUGAGUGUUUACAGCUCUACAUAAACCACUGGUUUACACGAAUCAGCCACUAAACCAUGACUACAGUCACCAUUGAAUAUUGUAAAGGAUGAAGCUAUGCGUACCGCUACCAGGAACUGGCUGGUGCCAUAAGGCAGGUUCCUGGUGUGCAGGUGUCAGGAACCAAGGGGAGGCCAGACAGUUUUGAGGUGUCACUGAAUGGUGAAAAGAUCCACUCCAAGCUGGAGACAGGAAUGUUUCCUGAUACUACACAGAUGGUGGAGAUGGUGAAGAAGACGGCUGGUGGGGGAAAAGCGGAGAAAAAAAAGUCAAAGCUGUUUAAUCACAAGAACAAAUGCACUCACCAUUAGAGGAUGAAGGAUACAACAGAGGCUAUAUUCACACUGCAAGAGCAGUACAUGGUUUGUCACUCUCUCACACCUGCUUAUUUGAAUACCAAAAAAAAAAAGGAUUUCAAACAUUAAAAUUUGACACAUUUGUAUUUGUCAACCAAAAUUAAAGCCUUUAAGUUUCACUGUCAGCCAUGAGAAGAUCAGACCAUACAUUGUCUUCCUUGUGAAUAAAGACAAAGCCGAGAAGAUGAUGAGAGAGCUUUGAGGAGCUGGGCACUGAUUCGUACUUCUGUUUAUGAAUGUAUGCGCAGAAAACAUAGUGGGUGUGUACACGAUGCAAGACGAGAAGCUUUUCAGCUGGCCUGUAGCCUGAGAAACUGCUCUCAUCAUGUCGGUCUCAGGAGUGGGAAAUCAGAAAAUAGAACUUUAUUAUUAUUAUUAAGAAAGUGAAUCAGUAUUUUCCCCAAAAUGUCCAUUUGUUACUUUAAUCUUUGUGUGUUUGCAGACAGAAUGUGCAACACUCAUUACAUCUUCCUUGUCAUUUAUACUCUCAAACACAUCAUGAACAUGGACUCAGAUGUAUUGUAUAUUCAGAUAUAUGCCCUACUUUUUCAAACUGUUCCCUGCGUGGUGUUCGGUCGUGAUGAGCUGAGCACUAAUCUAAUCUAUCUGUUAUGAUAAAUAUUAAAUCAAUGGCAAAUGUUACACAUGAAAAAGAGAUAUUUAUUUUGACACGGAGCAUGUAUUUUAACUAUUUAAACAACUUACUGAUGUACUGUUGUUUGUAACUGAUUCCAACAACAACAACAAAAUUCCAGAAAUGCAAUAAAAUAUCACUG